AUCAACGGAGAGUUCUGAAUUUUUUUUUUUUUUCAGAUUGAAGACUGCAGAAGAGGUAAUGUUUCCUUCUUGUUUUCGAUGAGUGAGCUUUUUGUUUCGCAGAAUCGGACACAUAUCAUCAUGAAAACGCGUUUGUUAUGGUCACGGGUAUAAAGCGAAGCUAUGGAUUGGAGGCUGUUUUCUUGUUAAUUUGCUUUCAUAAUUUCAAUUCACAGUGAAACGACAACUGAUCAUGCCGAUCGAGGAUUCGAUUCCAACAAAUAGCUGGAAAGUUCAUAAUCUGCUGUUAUGCAGCCUUUUACACCGAUGAUUGACUGUGGACCAUCGCCAGCAGGUGGAAGAGACAAUAAGACUAUGAAACAGGAAGGCGGUUAUGUUGGCGCUGGAGAUCUUCUAAGAGAAGGCUACUGAGCUCUUCGGUUGCAUCCAAGCAACUGUGUCGAUGGUGGUGACAACCAUGGAAACAAGGGGCCAAGACGAUAUUAAGGCAGGUGAACACGAGGCAUUUUAGAUGAAAGAACACGAGUGGAAUCUGGGAUUCCAGAGAAAUGCAUUGAAGAGAUAUAUGUGGCUGAAUUGAGGGAAGAAACUGCUGCCUAAAACUAAGAAGCUGAUCUAAAACAAGUGAAAGCUCUCAGCUUUGUUAUGUGCAUAUGAACAAUGAAGAACACUACUGAGCAGACUUUUUUUUUUUUUUUUCUCCAUCUCUCUCUGAUCUGUCAGUUUCAAGUCUCAAAUGAAUACCUAUAAAUUUAAAGAUGAUGAAUAUGAUGGAUGAAAGAAGGGAAUCUC